rnacentral:sRNA from 1 species
CAUUAAUAAAACAAGGGGGGGGUUCAAAAGACACCCCCGGGGGCGCGGUGGAUCAACACCCCCUAGGGUCAUUCCGGGGCUGUCCCACGCGUCUUAUUUUUCCACCCGGUGCGUACCUACACAUUAAGCUUGCUUUGGCGGCAAUUCUCCGUCCAGGGGACCAAAAACUCGAUGUAUCCGUGACGUCCGAGUGAUAUAUAAUAACUAAAACUUUCAACAACGGAUCUCUUGGUUCUGGCAUCGAUGAAGAACGCAGCGAAAUGCGAUAAGUAAUGUGAAUUGCAGAAUUCAGUGAAUCAUCGAAUCUUUGAACGCACAUUGCGCCUCCUGGAAAUUCCGGAAGGCAUACCUGUUCGAGCGUCAUUGACAACCUUCAAGCUUUCCCGCUUGGCGUUGGGCAUCGUCCGUCCGGGACGUGCCUUAAAAUCAGUGACGGUCCAGGUGAUUUUUAAACGCAUUAAACAAAUCUCGUUUGAAAAAUCGCCUGCGGCCAGUCGGUUCCAUCAUCACCUAAAUGAUUGACCUCGGAUCAGGUAGGGAUACCCGCUGAACUUAAGCAUAUCAAUAAGCGGAGGAAAAGAAACCAACAGGGAUUGCCUCAGUAACGGCGAGUGAAGCGGCAACAGCUCAAAUUUGAAAUCUGACCCCUUUGGGGCCCGAGUUGUAAUUUGUAGAGGGUGCUUCGGGCGUGGCCUAGGUCUAAGUUCCUUGGAACAGGACGUCAUAGAGGGUGAGAAUCCCGUAUGCGACCGGCGAUCCAGCCCAUGUGAAGCCCCUUCGACGAGUCGAGUUGUUUGGGAAUGCAGCUCAAAAUGGGUGGUAAAUUUCAUCUAAAGCUAAAUACCGGCCAGAGACCGAUAGCGAACAAGUAGAGUGAUCGAAAGAUGAAAAGCACUUUGAAAAGAGAGUUAAAAAGUACGUGAAAUUGUUGAAAGGGAAGCGCUUGCAAUCAGACCUGCCCGGGGGUGAGCGGUCGGGGCUCAGUUUCCCGACCAUCCAUUCACCCCCGAUCGGGCCAGCAUCGGUUUGGGCGGCGAGAUAAAAGCCUCGGGAAUGUAGCUUCUUUCGGGGAGUCUUAUAGCCCGGGGCGCAAUGUUGCCAGCCUGGACCGAGGACCGCG